rnacentral:rRNA from 1 species
CACGGGGGGAGCAAGCGUUGUUCGGAAUCACUGGGCGUAAAGCGCGUGUAGGCGGCCCAUUAAGUCUGAUGUGAAAGCCCGGGGCUCACCCCCGGAAGUGCAUUGGAAACUGAUGGACUCGAGUCCCGGAGAGGAGAGUGGAAUUCCUGGUGUAGCGGUGAAAUGCGUAGAUAUCAGGAGGAACACCGGUGGCGAAGGCGGCUCUCUGGACGGUGACUGACGCUGAGACGCGAAAGCGUGGGGAGCAAACAGG